UCUCCGCCCCGGGUCGCUGCCGCCUCCGCCGCUUUCGGGCUUCGCAGCCUGAGGAAAAAAAGAGAAAAAGAUAAAAAAAAUCUGAAAACGCUUCAAAAUCCUGAAAAAAAAAAAGGAAAAGAAAAAACGAAUCCUCGGAGAACCCGCGGGGAAGUCACUUUCGUACGCUUCCGGCCUGCCCCGCGCCCGCCGCCGCAGCGCUUGGCGUCCGUCGGUCUCCGUCCGUCGGUCCGGGGAAAUUUGGAGCUUCGCACCAGGACCGCGGAGAAGUGCAAAGUCGCGGGGAGGGCCGUAUUGUGCGGAGAGCCUUUUGUCUGCGGUGCUGCGGCCGUGGGAGCCGGCCCCCGCCUCCCGUUUCCGUCCCGUCUCCAAGCCCGCCGACUCCAGCUCGUCCUCGCCGCGCCGGUGCCACCUGUGAGCCGCGGCGCGGGCCCGGGCUCCGAAGGCGCCCCUUUGUCCUGCGGCGGGCCCGAUAAGAAGUCCUCCUGGCGGGGCUCGGGGUGGUGGGGGGCGGGGAGAUGAACGCUGCGGC
rnacentral:lncRNA from 1 species